rnacentral:lncRNA from 1 species
CUUUUCAUAAUGACACGAAAAUUUCUGAAGUACUGCAAAGGGAUAGUAGUUCCAUCAGACGCAUAUGCAUAUGAUAUCUACAUAUCUUGCAAUGAAAAUGACGUUUAUUUACGGCAUUGGCUGACGUCAUCCUUUGUUCCUUUUCUUCAAGAAAAAAAAACUUAGUGUGUUUUUGCCUUAUCGAGAUUGUCAAAUAGGGCGACUGCGUGAGGAAGAAACCAUUGAUAUAAUGUCAACGAGUCUUAAUUUUGUAAUUUUGCUGUCCGAG